AUGUCUCACAACGACGACCUCGGCAACGCCGGCAACCCUGACGCCCCCAACUCCAGCGGCAUGGCCACGGCACCGGUGCCCGUGGCAUCCGCUCCGGCGCCCGCCCUCCCCGUCGACCUCGCGCCUGGCAGCUCGACCCUCCCAGCGGCCACGGCCCCCGUGCCCGUGGCGUCCGCUCCGGCGCUCGCCCUCCCCGUCCAGCUCGCGCCCGGCGGCUCGACCCUCCCAGUGGCCAACCUCGGCGUCCCCAACUCCAGCGGCAUGGCCACGGCCCCGGUGCCCGUGGCGUCCGCUCCGGCGCCCGCCCUCCCCGUCCAGCUCGCGCCCGGUGGCCCGGUCCUCCCAGCGACGGCGCCCGCCCUCCCUAUCUCCACCACGGUGGUCGCACCCGCGCCGCAGCGCCCCGGCCUCAACCUCUCGGCGCCCUCGAUGCACCAGAUCAGCAUCACGUCGUACAUCAACUUCAAGCUGGACGUCGCCACCAACAACUACUCCAAAUGGAGGCAGCUGAUGCACCGCGUACUCUCCAUGUACGAGGUUCUCAACCACGUCACCCACCGCUCCGAGCCGCUCACGCAGAGCGCGACCUGGCGCCAUGAGGACCUGACCAUCGUCCUGUGGUUCUACGCCACGAUCUCGGACGAACUCUAUGAUGUGGUCAUGUCCGCCGACAGCACCGCCUACGACGUGUGGCACCAGCUCCACACGUUCUUCAGGGACAACCUCCCCGGCCGCGCCAUCUACCUCUCCGCCGAGUUCCGCUCCGUCGUCCAGGGAGACCUCACAGUCGGCGCCUACUGCCGGCGCCUCAAGGCGCUCGCUGAUGCCCUCACCGACGUCGAAGAGCCGGUGACGGACCGCACCCUCACGCUCCAACUCCUCCGCGGGCUCAACAGGCGUUUUCAGGUGAUGGCCACCGUGCUUAUGAUGCAGAUACCCUUCCCCUCGUUCCUGCAGGCCCGGUCUCGUCUUCUCCUCGAAGAGAUCGGCCUCGCCGAGCGCGACCAUGGCGAGUCCUCCACCGCGCUCAUCAUCCAGGGCGGCGGGGGGGCCGGUGACCGUGGGUCCUCCAGCUCCAACCCUCCACGCGGCGUCCAGGACGGCGCUCCGGAUCGCGGCACCCCUGCUGAUCGCAACCGCGGCGGCGGCGGCGAUCGCGGCCGCGGACGUGGCCGCAACUCCAACACCAACACCGGGGGCUCCGGCAGCUGUGCCCCACCUGCACCGCCUGCACCAACCACACUCUGGAUGGGCUACUUCGCCCCGUGGGGUUCCCCCAUGCCUGCCCAGUGGCGCGCGCCGUGGACGCCCCCGAACGCGACCGGCGUGCUGGGCCCGCGCCCGAGCAACCCCAACCACGCCUAUCCAGUGGUCUUCCCCGACGCCGGCAGCUCCUCCGCCGGCCCCGCUCAGCAGUCGUGGGAUCAACAGAGUCUCCUCGGCGCCGCCAUGAGCAACCUGCAGCUGUCGCCGGGCUCCUCCGCCAACUGGUACAUGGACAGCGGGGCCACGUCCCACAUCACUGGUAACCCAGGAUCUUCAAACUCGGACCCCUCUCAUGAGGUCCAAUAG
rnacentral:rRNA from 1 species